rnacentral:rRNA from 1 species
ACUCAAAGGAAUUGACGGGGGCCCGCACAAGCAGCGGAGCGUGUGGUUUAAUUCGAGGCUACACGAAGCACCUUACCUGGGCUUGACAUGCUGGUAGUAGGGAAGGGAAACCGGACCGACCUUCGGGAGCCAGUGCAGGUGCUGCAUGGCUGUCGUCAGCUCGUGUCGUGAGAUGUUCGGUUAAGUCCGAAAACGAGCGCAACCCCUGGGGCAGGUUACAGGUAUCGUGCCCGACUGCCCGGGAGAACCGGGAGGAAGGUGGGGAUGACGUCAAGUCAGCAUGGCCUUGAUGUCCAGGGCGACACACACGCUACAAUGGCGGGGACAAUGGGUAGCCAAAGGGUGACCUGGAGCCAAUCCCGCAAACCCCGUCGUAGUUCGGAUUGCAGGCUGCAACCCGCCUGCAUGAAGCUGGAGUUGCUAGUAACCGCACGUCAGCACAGUGCGGUGAAUACGUUCCCGGGCCUUGUACACACCGCCCGU